UACGGGGGGGGGCAAGCGUUGUUCGGAAUUACUGGGCGUAAAGGGCUCGUAGGUGGCCAACUAAGUCAGACGUGAAAUCCCUCAGCUUAACUGGGGAACUGCGUCUGAUACUGGAUGGCUUGAGUUUGGGAGAGGGAUGCGGAAUUCCAGGUGUAGCGGUGAAAUGCGUAGAUAUUAGGAAGAACACCAGUGGCGAAGGCGGCUUACUGGACUGAAACUGACGCUGAGACACGAAAGCGUGGGGAGCAAACAGG
rnacentral:rRNA from 1 species